ACACUAUCCAGCUGAAAAAUGUUUUAUUAUCUAUUUUGCUCAGUUAUAUUUUUACCUGCAGCACAGGCCCAACUGCACUGUUAGUCACCCUGUUAAGGCCAGAGAUGGAGAUAUGUGUAAUAUUCUUAGACGUCAAAUUGUUUCACAUGGCUAGGCUAUGGAUAUGAAGCCCAGCUAAAACAAUCUGCCUCAGCUGGGGUGUGUGAGGUAUCAAUAACCCUUGGCAGAGAUGUCAGGAUCCUUGCUGGAACUCUACUACCCUGCUGACCAGAUGCUUAGCAAGUUAACAAGAUUCUGAGCAUUCACCGCUUUUCCAACACAACAAUUAACACAACUGGAAAAUCACCGCUCUGAUAUUCUGAAAAAGAACGUCAUGCAAGUUGUCCGUUAUGGAACAGGGACAAAUAAUCAUACUGUAUUACACUGAGAAAAGGAUAUUUUGAAGUUUUAAUUUGGCCAGGUGCUUUGGUUAAAUAAAUGAGAUAAAUUGAAAAG
rnacentral:lncRNA from 1 species